AUGGCGAGUACCUUUCCCACCCCGACCCUCUUGACGCCCAAGCUGUCCCAGCCACCGCUCGGUCCUUCGCGCCGCAACGCUGCCGCUGCGGCUGCCCCGUGGCCGCAUCGUGGGCGGAUCAGCGCGACCACAGGAGGCGAAGCUGCCGCAGCAGCAGAAGCAAAGGCCAGGAAGGAGCAGAGGAAACGAUGCCUGAGGUGCGGCGCCCUGUACCUGGACGAGGACAACUCCGCUGCCGCCUGCGCCUUCCAUGGCCACAUCACCGGUGAGAAGGGGCUGUUUUCGCUGUCGCCGCCGCACCAGGGGAUCGACGGCGAGUGGAGCGACAAGAGCGGGGUCAUCGUCUACCGGUGGAACGACCGUGGCGACAGCCCCAACACCGGCCGUGCCAACUGGAAGGGGAGGUGGAGCUGCUGCCAGGAGCGGGACGAGGAAGCGCCGCCGUGCCGCCGUGGGCACCACGUCUCGUACGACGACGGCUUCACUCUCUUCUAG
rnacentral:rRNA from 1 species